AUUGAACGCUGGCGGCAUGCUUUACACAUGCAAGUCGAACGGCAGCGCGGGCUUCGGCCUGGCGGCGAGUGGCGAACGGGUGAGUAAUACAUCGGAACGUGCCCCGUAGUGGGGGAUAGCUCGGCGAAAGCCGGAUUAAUACCGCAUACGACCUGAGGGUGAAAGCGGGGGAUCUUCGGACCUCGCGCUAUUGGAGCGGCCGAUGGCAGAUUAGCUAGUUGGUGGGGUAAAGGCCUACCAAGGCGGCGAUCUGUAGCUGGUCUGAGAGGACGACCAGCCACACUGGGACUGGGACACGGCCCAGACUCCUACGGGAGGCAGCAGUGGGGAAUGUUGGACAAUGGGCGAAAGCCUGAUCCAGCAAUGCCGCGUGUGUGAUGAAGGCCUUCGGGUUGUAAAGCACUUUUGGCGGGAACGAAAAGGACUGUGCCAAUACCACGGUUCGAUGACGGUACCCGCAGAAUAAGCACCGGCUAACUACGUG
rnacentral:rRNA from 1 species